UACGUAGGGUGCAAGCGUUGUCCGGAAUUAUUGGGCGUAAAGAGCUCGUAGGCGGCUUGUUACGUCGGCUGUGAAAACCCGGGGCUCAACUCCGGGCCUGCAGUCGAUACGGGCUGGCUUGAGUGCGGUAGGGGAGACUGGAAUUCCUGGUGUAGCGGUGAAAUGCGCAGAUAUCAGGAGGAACACCGGUGGCGAAGGCGGGUCUCUGGGCCGCAACUGACGCUGAGGCGCGAAAGCGUGGGGAGCGAACAGG
rnacentral:rRNA from 1 species